rnacentral:rRNA from 1 species
AGGCACUACGGUGCUGAAGCGACAAAUGCCCUGCUUCCAGGAAAAGCCUCUAAGCAUCAGGUAACAUCAAAUCGUACCCCAAACCGACACAGGUGGUCAGGUAGAGAAUACCAAGGCGCUUGAGAGAACUCGGGUGAAGGAACUAGGCAAAAUGGUGCCGUAACUUCGGGAGAAGGCACGCUGAUAUGUAGGUGAAGCGACUUGCUCGUGGAGCUGAAAUCAGUCGAAGAUACCAGCUGGCUGCAACUGUUUAUUAAAAACACAGCACUGUGCAAACACGAAAGUGGACGUAUACGGUGUGACGCCUGCCCGGUGCCGGAAGGUUAAUUGAUGGGGUUAGCGGCAACGCGAAGCUCUUGAUCGAAGCCCCGGUAAACGGCGGCCGUAACUAUAACGGUCCUAAGGUAGCGAAAUUCCUUGUCGGGUAAGUUCCGACCUGCACGAAUGGCGUAAUGAUGGCCAGGCUGUCUCCACCCGAGACUCAGUGAAAUUGAACUCGCUGUGAAGAUGCAGUGUACCCGCGGCAAGACGGAAAGACCCCGUGAACCUUUACUAUAGCUUGACACUGAACAUUGAGCCUUGAUGUGUAGGAUAGGUGGGAGGCUUUGAAGUGUGGACGCCAGUCUGCAUGGAGCCGACCUUGAAAUACCACCCUUUAAUGUUUGAUGUUCUAACGUUGGCCCGUAAUCCGGGUUGCGGACAGUGUCUGGUGGGUAGUUUGACUGGGGCGGUCUCCUCCUAAAGAGUAACGGAGGAGCACGAAGGUUGGCUAAUCCUGGUCGGACAUCAGGAGGUUAGUGCAAUGGCAUAAGCCAGCUUGACUGCGAGCGUGACGGCGCGAGCAGGUGCGAAAGCAGGUCAUAGUGAUCCGGUGGUUCUGAAUGGAAGGGCCAUCGCUCAACGGAUAAAAGGUACUCCGGGGAUAACAGGCUGAUACCGCCCAAGAGUUCAUAUCGACGGCGGUGUUUGGCACCUCGAUGUCGGCUCAUCACAUCCUGGGGCUGAAGUAGGUCCCAAGGGUAUGGCUGUUCGCCAUUUAAAGUGGUACGCGAGCUGGGUUUAGAACGUCGUGAGACAGUUCGGUCCCUAUCUGCCGUGGGCGCUGGAGAACUGAGGGGGGCUGCUCCUAGUACGAGAGGACCGGAGUGGACGCAUCACUGGUGUUCGGGUUGUCAUGCCAAUGGCACUGCCCGGUAGCUAAAUGCGGAAGAGAUAAGUGCUGAAAGCAUCUAAGCACGAAACUUGCCCCGAGAUGAGUUCUCCCUGACUCCUUGAGAGUCCUGAAGGAACGUUGAAGACGACGACGUUGAUAGGCCGGGUGUGUAAGCGCAGCGAUGCGUUGAGCUAACCGGUACUAAUGAACCGUGAGGCUUAACCUU